AGCACGACAGUGUGCCCACCAUCUGUCGUUAACACGGCAUUGCAUGAAACGGCCAGAGUCUAGAGUCGCCGCAGCGUCAGACGGUGUGCGGAAUGGUUGCAGAAAACGGUGGCAGCGUGCGCAUUCAGCUUCACAGUUUCUUCGAAAGAAACAAUGUGAAGAAGCCGUCUUUCUUUGGGAAUUAUGCGAAACGUUCUGCUUUUCCGUGUAUUCAGGGAGCACUUACAGCGCAAAUAGACGCGAACACUCGCCCACUUCGACAGACUCUGAAAGAAGACUGUAAAAAUGGUUCUUCCGAGUUCUAAAGUACGCAAGAUGCGAGGCCGCGCUGCCAUCUGUGAGCAGCAAUUCUCACCGCACAAAACCUGCGAUGGCUAAAAUAGACAGGUUGGCAAAGCGACAAGGGGAAGAGGCGCGCUUGGUUGCGGAGACGAAUUGCGGAAGCGCGGCUUCCUAACGUCUGUCUAAGCCCCCGCACCACAGCGGCGGUCGUUGAUGGAUUGCCCGUUGGAAAGCCCCUCCGCGCUACCGGAAAGCUGGUUACGCCACGUAACUCCAAAGUACUGCCAAGAAGCAAGCUUUACGAAACGCCGUUGCACGCAAGCGAUGGAGAGCGCGGCGGCAAAGAAGUGGUGCGGAAAGCGUGCCACUCGCUACCCGGAAUUUUGACCAGGUGUGGCACCGCGGCAGGAACCGACAGUAGUACCGACGGACAGCAGCGGGGCUCGCGCUACGUGCACGUUUUACGACCCCGGGGGAACUCGGGUGCCCGGGAUGCGUCGGGACCCCCGACGUGUAGCCUCAUUGUCUAUUCCACCUCAUCGCUCCGCGCUGCCUGAUGGCCUUCGGUGCGAGCUAUUUUUAUCCCGAAACGCUUUCCGCGUCCGGGCCGCCACCUGCGACACCUUCUCCAGAUGUGAAGUAUCCCACCCGAAGUUUAUACAUCAGCGAUGUCUUUGGACACUUUCACCGCAUGCGGCUUCCUAAACACCUUCGGCAACUAUUCACACUUGAUGUGAGCAUUGUCGAGUAUUCCGUCUUUUCUUGGGGGAAACUAUGGUAAAGCUUGAGAAAACCUUGGUGCAGAAGGAUUAUAAAAUGCGGUGUGCUGCGAAGGGAGGGCUUCGGUACAAUUUCGGACCCUCUGGGGUUUCUUAACGUGCGCUCAAAGCAAGGUGUACGAGCGUUUUUUGCAUUCUGCCCCUGACGGAAUGCUGCCACCGCUGCCGGGAGCCGAACCCGCGACAUCGUGCUCAACAGUGUAACGCCAUAGCUACUGAUCCACCAUGGCGGGCACGAAAUUUGCGGUAUAUUGCUCUAUGAUCGUUGGCAGCCGAGCAUUGCUCCUAUCAGUACUGCUUGAUCUGAAGGAAAAAAAAAAGCGCCUGCUCAUCAUGUUCUUGUCGCGCUUGUAUCAACCGCGCACCACUUAACACUCAUGAAUUAGGAUCGUAAUAUUUUUUUAUUAACUUAUAAGGAGGCGACACAGCUUGUAAUGCAAUAAAUGACGAGGUCCCGAUGUUGGA